UACUCUCACACUCUCUGAUCCUUUGGAUUCAGGGAGCAGUGGACUUGGGUGCUUGCUGCUUUCCUUGUGGCUCACCUCAAAUGCGUCAGUGCACCUCUUGGUUGGACAUAGUACGGCGUGAUAAGUAUCUUCGCCGGCACCUCGCAAGAGGGUGGUCAAUUGGGAGCUCUGUGCUUUCAAACUGUCUUCGGACAAUUUCUGACA
rnacentral:misc_RNA from 1 species